GACGAACGCUGGCGGCGUGCCUAACACAUGCAAGUCGAGCGAAUGAAGUUCCUUCGGGAACGGAUUUAGCGGCGGACGGGUGAGUAACACGUGGGCAACCUGCCUCAUAGAGGGGAAUAGCCUUCCGAAAGGGAGAUUAAUACCGCAUAAGAUCGUAGUACCGCAUGGUACAGCAAUUAAAGGAGCAAUCCGCUAUGAGAUGGGCCCGCGGCGCAUUAGCUAGUUGGUGAGGUAACGGCUCACCAAGGCGACGAUGCGUAGCCGACCUGAGAGGGUGAUCGGCCACAUUGGGACUGAGACACGGCCCAGACUCCUACGGGAGGCAGCAGUGGGGAAUAUUGCACAAUGGGGGAAACCCUGAUGCAGCAACGCCGCGUGAGUGAUGACGGCCUUCGGGUUGUAAAGCUCUGUCUUCAGGGACGAUAAUGACGGUACCUGAGGAGGAAGCCACGGCUAACUACGUGCCAGCAGCCGCGGUAAUAC
rnacentral:rRNA from 1 species